AGCUAGGAGCCUCCUCCUGGAGAGAAGUCUUCCUGCACUUGCACUGCCAGCCCAGAGACAUAAAUGAGGCCUUUCCAAGUGCUCUGACUGGAUCGCUUUUGGUGCCCCAGGCUCGGUGACACAGUUUGCAAUGCCUCUUCUCCGCUGCUCUAGCAUUUUCCCUUGCAUGCACUUCAGCCUUAUCACAGAUGCAGCAGAACUAUUCCAAUAGGCAUAAAGGAAAAGAAGAAGCAAUGGCCCAGAAAAUGCCACACGGAAGCAGCUGUAACAACAUCAGUGGUGGUGUCCCAGGAGGGAAGGAUGAAUUUUUUUAGCAGAAGAGGUUAAGGGAGGUAGGUGUGAAACAAAGAAGAGCACAACUAUUCUUCAGACAAUGGUUCAGCUUGGGAACUGCUUGCCACAGGAUGCUGUCAAUGCUAGAAGUUUACACAGCGUUACGGGGGAACUGGACAAGCCCAUGGACAUAGACUCAUGGCUGCUGCUGGAGACCGGAUGUUGGCCUAAAUGGGUUUUUGAUGUGAGCUGCUGCAGCUGUCCCAAGGCUAUGAUGUUAUGAGGGACACUUACUGACAGCAGCUGAAGAUCUAACCCAUCAGCUGUUGGAAGUUCUCUUAGAUGCUAUAAGUUUUUUGUGGCACCAAGCGGUUUCCAGAGAUGCCUUUUCCCAGAAUGUCUUGCCCCUACAAAUAAAGCAUUCUGCAUGGUUCUAGCCACUUUAGACUGAGUCACUUGUUGGGAUUGCAGCUUAUGGAAGGGGUCAUUAAUGAGGGUAGCUGCACCACACUGGAAAAUCUUUUUUUUCCUCAGUAUACCCUUGAUAGUUCUAAAAUCUAAGAAAUGGGUUUCUACAAGUAAACAACAUCUGUGUGUUAUCAGUAUUAUCCACUUUCAGGAUGGAACACAUUCAUCUGUGUAAAGCUUGAAAACCCUCUCAGGACUAUUUCAAAUCCAUUUCCUAGGUAAAUUAAACAGAUACUUUUGCCCCAGCCCUACAUCCCACACUGAAUCCUGCAUUCACAAGGAAUCCCAGUGACCUCUCCGGGUCCAUAAAGGCUAACUGUACUGCAGUAUGGGUUUUUGAUGGGUACACUUCAAUUUUGUCACUUCUUCCUAAUGAGAAAAUGAAUUUUAAAUUGACAUCCAGGAAUGAAUCAAAAUGUAAAAAGGGUCUUAAAUGAAAAGGUGUUAAGUAUCCAUGUAAGCUCAAAUCAGAAAUCUAAAUUAUCAGAUGAGAAAUGCAGCUCUUGAAAACAAAAGCACCCCAGUAGAUUUAUUUAAAACAAAUACAUUUCUGUGUGAUUAAAAGAAAGACCUGGAGCUGAUGUAAAUAGUUUGGAAGCAAAAUAAACCACACUGUAAUCAUAUAUUAAGAAGAAAUAUGUGUGAAUCUCAAUGAUUUGUAGAAAUACAGUCCAAAUUUUAAAAAAAAAGUCAUCACAAUUUUACUACAAAUGGAAACUUUAUUUGAAAUAUUGCCAUGUUUAGGGAAAACACAAGGAAGACAAGGUAGGUGGCACUCCAAUUUUCAGCCUCGAUUCAACAGAGGGAAAUCUAUGACUAAAAAAAGCUGAAGUAUGCAAAUCAAUUGCUUUCCUGAAGCCUUUUUACUCAGGUGGGAGUUACUCAUCCUAGUAACGAUGUGUGAAUUAUUCCUUCAUCAGGCUGACUUGUGGAUUCACACAAUUUAAUCAAAUUGCGGCUCAAACUUAGACUGUAAUAUAAUUAUUUUCCAGCUAGUAAAUGGGAAAAAAAUCUUACCAUUUCCCCCCUAAGCCCACCGGUGAGUCAGUAGUUCUUCUGGUUCCCAUUUCAAAUUCCCUUUGCCUUCAUGCCUGCAAGAUGCUACUGGCUUUCAAUUAACUGGUAGUGCCUGGCUGCUCCAAGCGCACUCAGAGCCCGUUGCAAAUGCAAAGUAAAGCGGGUUUAUAAAAAGUCACCCAUGAAGAUUGGUUAAGCUGCCUGUUUGACUGCACGUUUGCAAUGGGCUAGGACCACGUGCACAAGCAGUCACUGUGAUUUGACUGACAGGCAAUUAAAUGUGCUAACUUGUGCUUGUGGGAACGUAUCAUUAAAGUGCCCUAGCCAGUAGUUCAGCACAUUAAAAAAUAUAUCGCGUCAACGUUGUGAUAAAAGUUUUAUUUUAUUGAUACUACAUGUAAAUGAAAAAUGUAGCCAUGUACUAAGUGUAAUUUUACAUCUUUUAUCCACGUCUUACUCAGCCUAGUUUCUUACCAUUAAGCUCUCUGUGUCUUCCUUCCAGUACCAAAUGUACUUCCAGCGAAGAAGACAUGAGAUAUUAUCACUUCUUUUAGGAUUUUUAUUAGCAUUCAGAGGAUCUCAGGACCACACAAGGAGGUCUUUGGCAAACAUCAAAUACAGUUUUCCACAAUGCUGGGUGGCUGCCUUUUUGAGAAUCUUUAGCUUCAGUUAUGAUCAACUGCUUGUGAAAACACAUUAAUAUGUAAGACCUGAAGUGCUGUGCUUUUCUGUCUCAACAAGUUAUUAAUUCAUUUUAGGGUGAGACUCCAUGUCUAGAUAAGAGAUCCACUCCUAACACGCAGUUACCUCUCCCUGCCUGAAUUCUUUCCAUCAAAGAACUAGGGAUAAAUUUGACUUCUUUUUUAUCACUGUGGGUGUGACAGCAAUCUGCAGAUUCAGUAAUAG